rnacentral:rRNA from 1 species
UGGCGCACGGGUGAGUAACACGUGACUAACCUACCCUCGAGUGGGGAAUAACCUAGAGAAAUCUGGGCUAAUACCGCAUAACACUUACGAGUCAAAGCAGAAAUGCGCUUGAGGAGGGGGUCGCGGCAGAUUAGCUAGUUGGCGGGAUAAUGGCCCACCAAGGCAAUGAUCUGUAUCCGGCCUGAGAGGGCGCACGGACACACUGGAACUGAAACACGGUCCAG